rnacentral:rRNA from 1 species
AGAAUCAACGCUGGCGGCGUGCCUAACACAUGCAAGUCGAACGCGAAAGUCCCGAAAGGGGCAAGUAGAGUGGCAAACGGGUGAGUAACACGUGGGUGACCUGCCUUCGAGCGGGGGAUAACGUCCCGAAAGGGACGCUAAUACCGCAUAACAUCCUGCCUUUGAAGAGGUGGAGAUCAAAGCUGGGGAUCGCAAGACCCGGCACUUGAAGAGGGGCCCGCGUCUGAUUAGCUAGUUGGUGGGGUAACGGCCUACCAAGGCAACGAUCA